AGCUACUGUAUGCUGAGCUCCCCGUCGAGGCUGGGGGCAGUUCAGCGACUGUGCGCCACCAGUCCCCUGCCAGCUGCUCUCGACAGGUCAGUAAUCAGAGGGCGGCAGAGCAGGUGGAGCAGCACAGGAGUCCGGCAAGGGCUCCGUCACCCGUUUCCCUGGUGUUCGCGCCCCGCGCCUGGCUCUGCGUCGGAACCAUGGACAGCACCCGCGGCCCGGCUCCGGGGCGGCGUCUUGACGCGGCGGGCUUCUGGCGGGUGUGGCAGCGCUUUGAUGUGGACGAAAAAGGUUACAUAGGAGAGAAGGAGCUAACUGCUUUCCUUCAUCAAAUGCUGAUGAAACUGGGUACUGAUGACUCAGUUAUGGAGGAAAAUGUGUGCAAGAUGAAACAACAAUUUAUGACUGCCCAUGGUGUCCCUAAAGAAGGUCACAUAAGGAUGAAAGAGCUGGCCAGAAUGUUCUUGUCUGAGGAUGAAAACUUUCUUCUCCUCUUUCGCUUGGAAGCCCCCUUGGACAGCAGUGUGGAGUUCAUGCAGAUUUGGCGCAGAUACGAUGCGGACAGCAGUGGCUUCAUAUCAGCUGCUGAGCUUCGAAACUUCCUCCGAGACCUUUUCUUCCACCACAAAAAGGCCAUUUCAGAGGCAAAACUGGAAGAAUACACAGACACCAUGAUGAAAAUCUUUGACAAAAAUAAAGAUGGUCGGUUGGAUCUCAAUGACCUGGCAAGGAUUCUGGCUCUUCAGGAAAACUUCCUUCUCCAAUUUAAAAUGGAUGCCAGCUCUACUGAAGAAAGGAAGAGGGAUUUUGAGAAAAUCUUCGCCCACUAUGACAUUAGCAAAACUGGAGCCCUAGAAGGCCCAGAAGUGGACGGGUUUGUCAAAGACAUGAUGGAGCUGGUCCAGACCCUGGGCAAAGAGCCUGGCCUCCUGAGCCUCCCCAUGUUCUGCACAUGCAGCUGAGCAGCCAGUGCAGAUGCCCAGCCAGGUGAGCAAUCCAUCAUUAAUGGAUCUUCCUUCUUUACUAUCCCUUUUUUGCUGUUCUAUCUCAAACUUGUUAAACAAAAUUUUCCCAAUCUAAGAUGUUACUGUUCCCUUAAAGCUUUUCUGGUAUCCCCUCUGCCAGGCUAUGGGAGGCAGCUGGACAGCCAAGCAACUGGGCUCUCGCUGAACUGAAAUCUGUCAGAGACACAGAAUUUGGAACAGAGGCUCCAAGCAGCCCUCAUGAUGGCCGUGUCUGAACCUCUUUUCUUUUAUCACCUCAUUAUUCUCCUUUUCUUUUUCCAUGAAAAGAGUGGAUUGGAGACAUUUUUGCAAAUGAGAGAGUAUAAAAUGCAGGAGAGGGUUUUGGAGUUGACAGAUCUGAGCUUUAAUUCUGUUUAUUUAAUUUUAUUUUUGGUACCGGGGAUUGAACUCGAGUCCUUGUGCUUGUGCAGCAGGCAGCAAAACCACUGAGCUAAAUGCCCGGCCCUGAGCUUUAAUUCUAGAUCAAGUUCUUCAACUUCUCUGGAACUUGAAUCCUUGCCCAUAAAAUGGGCACAGUGGCAUCUGCUUCCCAAGGUUGUAUGAUGACUAGGAAUAAUGUAGACACAGAUCACAGUUACAAUGAGAUUUCCAAAAAAAUAAGUCUUUUUUAUUGUAUCAGAGCAAAACAGCUGUAAUCUUUAGAGUCCAUUUCUGAGGCUGAAAAUAGUUUAGGUUUGAGAGGGAGGAAGGAACCAGCAGCUCAAAGCAUGGCCCUGCCAUUCUAGUAUUUCUUUCUGAAGUAAUAAUGUAAAGAAGGCAUGCAAAGAGAAGCUCCUAAGAGAUAGACAUGAUUAUGUUAGAUGGUGAUUAAUUUACCUACUUUAGAAGUCCUUGUUUUAAAACAUUUGCUGUCUUUAUGAUUAUAAAAGUAGUGCUGGACAUUGUAGAAAAAUAUUGAAAAUAAAGGAAAACAGAAGUUACAAAGCCAAGGAGAAUUUAGAUUAAGGAUCCAGGUUCUUGACUGACCACCCUGGAUUCUAGGCUUGGUUUUACCACCAAGAGGUGCUGUGACCCUAGAGGAGUCGUUUAACAUUUUCAAACUUCAGCUUCCUUCUCUGGAAGAUGGAAAUGUCAUAAAUCACACAUCCAUUAAGAGGUCAGGAAGAUUCUAGGAUAAAAUCUACGUAAGUUCACUAAUAUUGUGCUACUUCACUGAUGAUUACCCUUAAUAAUAAACUGUUACCAAAAGCCCAGUAAAUACUAGUAAUUGUGACUAUAUCACAAAUCAGUCUGUUAGCUAACAUAGUUCUUUAAACUUCAAUGACCAUGAUCUUUGCCAUUUCCAUAUGACUUUUAUAAGAGAAAGUUCAGAUAUCUAUAUCCAGUAUAAUUUUGCUGGAUUCCCUUUCAAAAAUCAUCACUUUUGAACCUAGAUAACCAUAAUCAUUUUCAAUGAUCCUGCCUUUCAGCUGUCACUGAGUUUGGCCAAAGUUUCCGAAGGAUGACAGGAGAAGAUGGAACUAAAAUCCAUACCAGAAACACAGUGGACGAGAGAUUAUUUACAUAAAAUUAAGAGAAGGGAAAAAUUCUAGACCACACUCAAAAAUAUCACUGGAAGCAGAGGUCAGCCUGGCUUUCUGGAGACUUGUGUCACACCUGUGGGAAAUCAGGAGUGCCUCCACUCUUGUCCUGGCCUCCCCGUUUCUGUGGGGCUGCAGAAGCAGCAAAGGAGGCCUCUUUCUGUGAGUCCCGGCCAGUCUAAGGCCUGAGUCAGACUGCUCAGUAACACAAAAGCAGUUGACAGGGCUCUCCAGGUGAUUUGUUGAGCCAAAAAAAAAAUGUACAUAGGAGUCAAUAAGGCAAUAAGUGUUCUCUGAAGUCAGAUAGCUGAGGCUACAAACCUAUAUUGUAUCUUUUUUAGCUUUUAUUGGAUCUUUUUUAGUCUUUCAGAUUUCUUAAAAAAUAUUACUCUGUAAUUUGAAGGGGAUGGCAGAGAGAUGACCAUAAGUUGAAUCUGAUGUCCUUGUGAUUUUUUUCUUUAUUUUCUUUUUAUAAGAAAGAGCCAUGAGACAAGUAAACAACUAAUAUCUGGAAUUUAAUUUAAAAAGCAACUAUCAGAGCAUGCCAUGGAGUCAGCAGGGAGCUGGCCCAGUUUCUAAGUUUGUAGUCCUGGGUCAGGUUUCUUGAUUUCAGUAAUAACCCUGAAGCAAACCUAUUUUAUACCCUUUUAAUUUUUGGACAACCAUAUUUUAUGCAUCUAUCGACUUUGCAUUAACAAGAUGAUUUGGUUACCAGAACAUCUUAUUUCCCACCAUAGGAAAAUAGUGCCUAAGUCUGUCCUCUGCCAGUGUGAUGAGAUUGCAAGUCACUGAGCGAACAGACGUAGUUUUAAAAAAAAUCACUUUAUUGAGAUACAAUUGACAUUCAAAAAGCUGUAGAUAUUUAGUGCUUGGAGAUAAGUACACACCCAUGAAGCCAUCUUCACCAUCAGUGCUGCAAAGUUAUCUUCCACCUGCAGGUUUCUUCAUGCCCUCUUACUUAUUGUUUCUGUUUCUAUUCAUUUUCAUUUCGCCUUUGUGGUAGGAGCAGUUGACAUAGCAUCUAUUCUCUUAUCCAACUUUUAAUACAGUGCAGCAUUGUAUAACAUUUUACAUAAGUUUGUUUGUUUAUUUGUUUGUUUUUGGUACUACAGAUUAAACCCAGGGCCUUUGCACUAAACUACAUGCCCAGCCCUUUCUUUCUGGAGCGAGCACAUCUUUUCGGUUUUCAUUUUGAGACAGGGUCUUUGCUAAGUAGCAAAACUGCCCAGGCUGGGCUGGAACUUGAGAUCCUCUUGCCUCAGCCUCCUAGAGUGCUGGGAUUAUAGGCAUAGGCCCCCAAGCCCAGUUUACACAAGCUUUGGCUCAUUUGGCACAGCAUAAAAACUGACAGAAUCUACAGCUUCAACCAGAAGUAUCAAGCCAAGAAAUUCAAGAUCUUCCAGGGAGGAGAAGUGGGAACAUUAGAAGCCAAAUAAACAUGCAGCCAGAGAUGACUCAAAUGUCUGACCAAGCCCAGCAUCAGUGGAGUGGACCUUGACAAGUUCCGGGGGAUCCUCCUGCGUCACUGCGAUGUGAACAAGGAUGGGAAAAUUCAGAAGUCUGAGCUGGCUUUGUGUCUUGGGCUGAAAAUCAACCCCUGAUCUCCACAUGCUUUGCCGCUCACACUUGUCGUGUUUCUGUGCUCUUGCUGUUGGAAUUGUGUCAGUGCUUUGCCGCUUGGGACCCAGUGGGCAAACUUUUCCAUCAAAGCUUGGUGUUCUCAGGGGAGCGAGGGACCCUAAGUCCCCUUCCAGUGGCAGGCGUGGUCCUGCCUCACCGAAACCCCCAAGCAGCCACUGAGUCCUCUUCCCCUUGGCUUUCCAGUCCCCCACAAAGACUCAGUGACCUGUUAGAUCUGCUCUGCUCCUCUUCUCUUGCCACCAGGUGGCAGGGACAGCGUGGUCCAUCCAUCCCUGCUCUUCUCAUGGGCUUUCUGCUAAGUCCGAGUGUGUGUGACAUCUGUGGCAGUUCUGUAACUUCUGCAAGUAGAUUGUUACAUGGAAAUAAAUCUGCAGUUGAAAACAAA